GGGGAAUAUUGGACAAUGGGCGCAAGCCUGAUCCAGCCAUACCGCGUGGGUGAAGAAGGCCUUCGGGUUGUAAAGCCCUUUUGUUGGGAAAGAAAUCCAGCUGGCUAAUACCCGGUUGGGAUGACGGUACCCAAAGAAUAAGCACCGGCUAACUUCGUGCCAGCAGCCGCGGUAAUACGAAGGGUGCAAGCGUUACUCGGAAUUACUGGGCGUAAAGCGUGCGUAGGUGGUCGUUUAAGUCCGUUGUGAAAGCCCUGGGCUCAACCUGGGAACUGCAGUGGAUACUGGACGACUAGAGUGUGGUAGAGGGUAGCGGAAUUCCUGGUGUAGCAGUGAAAUGCGUAGAGAUCAGGAGGAACAUCCAUGGCGAAGGCAGCCACCUGGACCGGUAUUGACGCUGAGGUGCGAAAGCGUGGGGAGCAAACA
rnacentral:rRNA from 1 species